CCAAAUUGCGGCUUGUGCCCGCUCUGCAACCAGGUCCAGGAAUCGGCGACCCAUCUUCUGUUCCAGUGCCACUUUUCGAUCGCCGUCUGGAACACGGUUAAGGCGAGGAUUGGGCUGGUUGACCUCUCGACGCAUGAUUGGGCAACUCUGAACAAUGUCAACGACAGGUGGACUAAGCUUUCCCUUGCGCGUUCGCCAUCUCGGAAGGGAAUGGCCUAUCUCCUUAUGUUGGUCUCCUGGGAGCUAUGGAAGGAGAGGAACGCUAGGGUUUUUAGAAAUACUUCUACGCCUUCGAUCAUUAUCGUGGACAAGAUCCUUGAUGAGGCAAGCCUAUGGGUUUCUACGGGGGCCAAGGGUUUAGAUGUGAUUCUGCCUCGUGAGUAG
rnacentral:rRNA from 1 species